GCGGGGCUACCGGACUACCGAACGAGGGGCGGGAGGAGAGGCGGAGCCGCAGCGUGGUCGGGGCCUUCCCGCGGUGCCGAAAGUUGCCUCUCCGUGCUUUUGCGGCGUGGUCUCCCCUUUUGCCCCUCCAAUGUUUAGCAAUUGAUUUUGUCUGAGGAUUAGUCUUUAGAUUGUAUCACUUUGUGUAUUUUUUGUAAAAAUAGAGCAGUUAAUUAUUCUCUUAAAAUCGGUGAAAAUAGAAAUGUACGUUUUUUGAUGAAUCCUGGUGAACAGGGAAAUUUUUGGCACAGUUGGUUUGAGAUGGUAGAAGGUUAAACCCAGAAAGCAAAUGUUUUGCCCCCUCUUCAUGAGAAUGUGGCUUUGCACAUGUGUGUUGGAGGAGGUUUGGCCAAAACUGGAGUUCGCGUUAUACUAGGCCCAGUUGUCGCUGCCAGUUACAGCCUUUUCCCUCCUUCAGUCUCAAGGGUGUUAAAAGCCUGGUGUGGACUCCCUGAGUUCCUAGGACAAAGAUUGUCGAGUGUAGAUAAGUCCAGGUGCAAAGUUCCGGGUGCUUUAUUUUGUACAUGGGCCUGGCACAGUGGCUCACGCCUGUAAUCCCAGCACUUUGGGAGGCCGAGGCGGGCAGAUCACGAGGUCAGGAGAUCGAGACCAUCCCGGCCAACACGGUGAAACCCUGUCUUUACUAAAAAAAUACAAAAAA
rnacentral:lncRNA from 1 species